GAUGAACGCUGGCGGCGUGCCUAAUACAUGCAAGUCGAGCGAACAGACGAGGCGCUUGCUCCUCUGACGUUAGCCGCGGACGGGUGAGUAACACGUGGAUACCCUACCUAUCAGACUGGGAUAACCUCGGGAAACCGGCGCUAAUACCGGAUAAUAUCUUGAACCGCAUGGUUCGAUGGUGAAAGUCGGCUUUGCUGUCACUUAUCGCUGGAUCCGCGCCGCAUGAGCUAGUUGGUAAGGUAACGGCUUACCACGGCUACGAGGCGUAGGCGACGGGAGGGGGGGAUAGGCGACACUGGAGCGGGGACAGGGACCAUGGUCCUACGGGAGGGAGCAGUAGGGAACCUGCCGCAAUGGUCGAAAGCUUUACGGAGCAACGCGGCGUGUGAGAUGACGGUCUCGGGAUCGGAAAACUCGGUUAUGGGGUAAGAACAAAUUUGGAAGGAAAUAUGCACUGCUUGACGGUACCGAGUCAGAAAGCCACGGCUAACUACGUG
rnacentral:rRNA from 1 species